GAUGAUAUGAUUGUGAUUCCCUUAGAGGUGUUAUGUGAACAUCGACUACAUAACACUUCACCAUAUUUUGGGCCUAAGGGAAUGCAUUGUGGAUUAGUAAUUAGAGGGUGGUUUGCGAGAGUGACAGAAACAUAAACCCCAGUCUAUGCACUACUUCGUAAGGGGCUGAUUUGGAUCCUAUGUUUAAUGCUAUGGUUAGAAUUUACUCUUAAUACUUUUUUCGUAGUUGUGGA
rnacentral:lncRNA from 1 species